UAAAAGGUUGUUCUUACAACUACCCAACGGAAUGUAAUAUAAAACUU
rfam:Trichomalopsis sarcophagae strain Alberta scaffold885, whole genome shotgun sequence.